GACGAACGCUGGCGGCGUGCUUAACACAUGCAAGUCGAACGGUGAAGGGACCAGCUUGCUGGUUCUGGAUGAGUGGCGAACGGGUGAGUAACACGUGAGUAACCUGCCCCCUUCUUCUGGAUAACCGCAUGAAAGUGUGGCUAAUACGGGAUAUUCUGGGUCUGUCGCAUGGCGGGCCCGGGAAAGAUAUUGCUUCGGUGGGGGAUGGGCUCGCGGCCUAUCAGCUUGUUGGUGGGGUGAUGGCCUACCAAGGCGGUGACGGGUAGCCGGCCUGAGAGGGUGGACGGUCACACUGGGACUGAGACACGGCCCAGACUCCUACGGGAGGCAGCAGUGGGGAAUAUUGCACAAUGGGCGCAAGCCUGAUGCAGCGACGCCGCGUGAGGGAUGGAGGCCUUCGGGUUGUAAACCUCUUUCGCCAGUGAAGCAGGCCUGCUCCGUGUGGGUGGGUUGACGGUAGCUGGAGAAGAAGCGCCGGCUAACUACGUG
rnacentral:rRNA from 1 species